UACGUAGGGGGCGAGCGUUACCCGGAUUCACUGGGCGUAAAGGGGGCGUAGGCGGCCGUGUAAGUCCGGUGUGAAAUACCACGGCUCAACCGUGGAACUGCGCUUGUGACUGGCGGGCUCGAGUACGGUAGAGGGGGGUGGAAUUCCAGGUGUAGCGGUGAAAUGCGUAGAGAUCUGGAGGAAUACCGGUGGCGAAGGCGGCCCCCUGGACAAAGACUGACGCUCAGGCACGAAAGCGUGGGGAGCAAACAGG
rnacentral:rRNA from 1 species